CUAACUUUAAAAAUAUUAGGCUUUAGAAACCUACCCGCUUUUAAACUAUAUCUUCAAACAAAUCUUCUGUUACUUUGAGAGAAUUAGAAAAUAAUCCAAAUAAUUAUAGUAUAGAACCUAUUAUAGAUAUUUUAUAUGAUUUAAAUGGAAAUAUAAAAAUUAAAAUAAAAAAAAUAGCUAGGUUAGUUUUAAAUACUCCA
rnacentral:lncRNA from 1 species